rnacentral:lncRNA from 1 species
UGUUGGUGUUUUGCUUGGUGAGUAGAAUCGCUUGUGGAUUUCCAUUUGAUGUUGUGAUUGUUGCUUGAGGACAAGCAAGGAAUUAAGUGUGGGGGGGUUGUUUAGCCCUAUUUUGUGAUGAAUUUAUGGGUGUUUACAUCUUAUAUUGACUUUUAUUUUGGUCUCUUUCACUCAAGAGUUGAUUGAUUUGAGUUGUUGUGCUAAUUUUGUUGUCUCAGGAUUUUGUGCUCAAAUUGAUUGAUAUGUGGACAAAAAUAAAGUCAG